UGGGGAAUAUUGGACAAUGGGCGCAAGCCUGAUCCAGCCAUGCCGCGUGAGUGAUGAAGGCCCUAGGGUUGUAAAGCUCUUUCACCGGUGAAGAUAAUGACGGUAACCGGAGAAAAAGCCCCGGCUAACUUCGUGCCAGCAGCCGCGGUAAUACGAAGGGGGCUAGCGUUGUUCGGAUUUACUGGGCGUAAAGCGCACGUAGGCGGACUUUUAAGUCAGGGGUGAAAUCCCGGGGCUCAACCCCGGAACUGCCUUUGAUACUGGAAGUCUUGAGUAUGGUAGAGGUUAGUGGAAUUCCGAGUGUAGAGGUGAAAUUCGUAGAUAUUCGGAGGAACACCAGUGGCGAAGGCGGCUCACUGGACCAUUACUGACGCUGAGGUGCGAAAGCGUGGGGAGCAAACAGG
rnacentral:rRNA from 1 species